GACGAACGCUGGCGGCGUGCUUAACACAUGCAAGUCGAACGGAAAGGCCCUGGCUUGGUGGGGUGCUCGAGUGGCGAACGGGUGAGUAACACGUGAGUAACCUGCCCUUUACCUUGGGAUAACUUCAGGAAACUGGGGCUAAUACCGCAUAGGAGCACAUGUUGCAUGGCGGGGGCUGGAAAGUUUCGGCGGUUGGGGGUGGACUCGCGGCUUAUCAGCUUGUUGGUGGGGUAGUGGCUUACCAAGGCUUUGACGGGUAGCCGGCCUGAGAGGGUGACCGGCCACAUUGGGACUGAGAUACGGCCCAGACUGCUACGUGAGGCAGCAGUGGGGAAUAUUGCACAAUGGGCGGAAGCCUGAUGCAGCAACGCCGCGUGCGGGAUGACGGCCUUCGGGGUGUAAACCGCUUUCGCCUGUGACGAAGCGUGAGUGACGGUAAUGUGUAAAGAAGCACCGGCUAACUACGUG
rnacentral:rRNA from 1 species